UUGAGCGUAAAAGAAAGACAAGAAAACGGGUCCUUCCGGGCAAGCUAAAAAAAAUAAAAAUAGCGGGUUUGUAUAUACCCUAGCUAAGCUAAUACGCUCCAACUCCUCCAGGUAAUCACACCCUUCAAAGUUCUCCAUUUUCAGGUUGGUUUGUUUUCGGAUGGCACCGAUAAUAAAUAGGUUUCCAUUUGUAGCUACGCAUCUAAAGAAAGUUAUAGCGAAGUUUAACGCGACUGGUGAGAAACAUGUAAUCAAAACAUGGUCUCGUGCGUCUAUGAUCAUACCGGAAAUGGUUGGUCAUAGGAUUGCCGUUCAUAAUGGAAAGAAACAUCGUCCGAUUAAUAUUAAAGAUGCUAUGGUUGGACAUAAGUUGGGAGAGUUUGCACUCACACGAACACGUAAACCACAAAAGGCACAAAAUGUCAAGAAACCCGCAAAGAAGAAAUGAUCAGAGUGUAAGAUAGUGGUGGCGAAGAUGAAGAUUUGUUGCUCUUUGUCAUUUGCUUUUGCCAGGUGAUUUUCCUGCCUUGAACUUCUUGUUAGUUUGUAGUUCUGGGUUAUCGUGUUGUGGGACUUUAAGUUUGCGUCCCAAGUUUACAGUUUAUUUUUGUAAUAACGAAUUUGAAGUUAUUGGUACAUUUGGACGCGCUUUGAGAUUAGCGAUAGCUUUGUCUUUAAAUGACUGAUAUACAUGUUUCUGUCAUGAUUCUUUCCA